CGGCACUGCUAGGUGACUGGGCUUCCUGUGCGGUGGUCUUCCAGUCUUAUUGUGGUGCAAGAACAACCUCAGUUUGCAGAAGGGUUGAGCUAGACCACUGGCUCCCCCCUUUCGAAGGCUGAGAACAAGC